GGGGAUUUAGCUCAGUGGUAGAGCACUUGCCUAGCAAGCGCAAGGCCCUGGGUUCGAUCUCCAGCUCCG
rnacentral:tRNA from 1 species